rnacentral:rRNA from 1 species
AAGACCUGUAUCCAUAAUUGCUAACAGGCUCUCCGGAGUGACUGAGCACAUUAUGGAGACUGCCUUCGUAAGGAGGAGGAAGGUGCAGGCAACGGUAGGUCUGUAUGCUCCGAAUCUUCUAGGCCACACGCGCGCAACAGUGGUGAAGACAAUGGGAUGCAACUCCGAAAGGAGAAGCUAAGCCUCGAAACUUCAUCGUAGUCUAAAUUGUGGGUUGCAACUCACCCACAUGACAACGGAAUCGCUAGUAAUCAGAUCUCAUCAUGGUCUGGUGAAUGU